GGAUGAGCCCGCGGCCUAUCAGCUUGUUGGUGGGGUAAUGGCCUACCAAGGCGACGACGGGUAGCCGGCCUGAGAGGGUGACCGGCCACACUGGGACUGAGACACGGCCCAGACUCCUACGGGAGGCAGCAGUGGGGAAUCUUGCGCAAUGGGCGAAAGCCUGACGCAGCAACGCCGCGUGGGGGAUGACGGCCUUCGGGUUGUAAACCUCUUUCGACACCGACGAAGCCAUCUUCGGGUGGUGACGGUAGGUGUAGAAGAAGCACCGGCUAACUACGUGCCAGCAGCCGCGGUAAUACGUAGGGUGCGAGCGUUGUCCGGAUUUAUUGGGCGUAAAGAGCUCGUAGGCGGUUUGUCGCGUCUAUCGUGAAAACCGGGAGCUUAACUCCUGGCUUGCGGUGGAUACGGGCAGACUUGAGUUCGGUAGGGGAGACUGGAAUUCCUGGUGUAGCGGUGAAAUGCGCAGAUAUCAGGAGGAACACCGGUGGCGAAGGCGGGUCUCUGGGCCGAUACUGACGCUGAGGAGCGAAAGCGUGGGGAGCGAACAGGAUUAGAUACCCUGGUAGUCCACGCCGUAAACGUUGGGCGCUAGGUGUGGGGAUGGGUUCCACUGUUUCCGUGCCGUAGCUAACGCAUUAAGCGCCCCGCCUGGGGAGUACGGCCGCAAGGCUAAAACUCAAAGGAAUUGACGGGGGCCC
rnacentral:rRNA from 1 species